rnacentral:lncRNA from 1 species
AGAGCACUCGUUUUCAACCAGAGCCCAGAAACAGCCGUUGUCCCCUGGCAAAAGAGGCCCAGUGCUGAGCCCUGGGCAAGUGUCUCCAGACAUCCCUACCUUUCUCUCCCUUUAUUAAGUCUUCUUUCCCAACAGAACCCAUUUCCUUUGCCACUAAAACUAGGUUGCAUCCAAAAGUUUCUCACAAGCUUAAAAAAGAAAAAUUGACACCAUUAUGCAGAAGAAUUCACAAAAGCUGCAGAGCGCCAGGGCAGAGAAGCAGCGUCAGACACAGGGGACUGAUGAGGAGAAAUGAAAGUCCACUGGCAGGGUCUCCUUGGCUUAGCAGGGGCACAGCCAUGGGAAGGGGCCGCUAACCCUUCCUGCUAAUGCCUGCAGCAUGCACACAAGACUGUCUGGCCUCUAGGAAGAAAGGAAAAGAGAUGACGGGGCCUGGGGAGUAAGCCCGUUCCAAGAAGAAACUGAGCCAAUUAUGUGCAGCCGUGGAGAUACAGAUCCCAUGUCAACACAUUUUCCAGUGUGAGAGUCUUUUAUUUUUGAAUUUUGGGAGGAGGACUGGCUUUACGGGUGUGCGACAUGAGCAAUCCCACAAGAUCCGUUACUUAGAAGCCCAGGACACACAGGACGGAUGUUUCCAAGUCACUCCAGGGACAGCAUGAGGCUCUCGCUGGCCUGUGUCUCAGAAGCUGCUUUCUCCACCUCUUCCUUGUGAAUUUCCUAAACUCUCUACCUCUGGUUCAUGUUCGCUCUUCUGGAUAGUCUGUGUGCAAUGAGCCCUUAAAGGAAUAUUGCAAUGAGCUAUAAGAGUUGUGAGCCUGCGGUAGGCAAGGCCUGCACUGGGACAGCAAAGGAAAUUUCAUUGCAUCUGCUCCUAAGUCACAGGUUAUCCAGAGCCCACUUUACCCCAAGAGACAGCCUCUCCCCCAUCCCUAGGAAACAGUAGAGCUUAGGAAAAUGAAUGACUCCACCACAUUCAAGAGGCUUCAAAUUGUAUACUUGGCAUUUCUGAUUUCAGUUCUGAAAUUCUGUCCCUUAGUCGUGGGGAAAAUAAGAAAUGGAGUUACACCUUGUCAUUUAAAAAACCAUUGAAUUAAGAGAAAUGGAAAAUCAUGCCCACAUAAAACAUGUAUGGAAGUGUUCAUGUUUUGAUCAUGGCGGGGGAUAUAGCUCAGUCAUGGAGUGCUUGCAUAGCAAUGUGCAUAAUCCGAGGUUCAAGCCCCAGCACCGAAAAAGAGAAGCGGGAGGAGUGGAGGCAUUCACAGCAGCGUUUUCAGUAUAGGCGCAAAGGGGAAGGAGUUUAAACACCUACUGAGGAAUGGAUAAGCGGAGUGCCUUGUCUAUACUCGGGAUGCUAGUCAUCAGUAGAAAAGUUUGAAAUGAUAGAUACGAUGGAUGAUCCCUUAAACAUCUCCCUAAGUAACGAGGUCAGCCUAGGAAGGCGUAUGUUCCAUAUUUCUGGGAUAUAUGGGCUCACCGAUGCAGAAAAAAGUACAGCCUGGUAUCCUGGAUUGGAGACACGGACUGGACUUUGGAAGACAACAGAAUGGAACAGAAUUUACUUGAGUGGCGAUGUUCUUGAAUGAACGGAAGUCAUGCUUGCCCACUUGAUGACUGCAUUUACAAACCACUGAAUUUUACUUUUAGUGGGUGAAUUGCAUGGUACCUUCAUUUUAAUCUCAAUAAAGCUGCGAGUAUUUUUAAGAGAUUUCUAAA